CCCCUGCCGCGGCGGACUGCUUGCAGGCGCGGCUCCCGGCCAGAGCCAGCGAGCGGAACGGGCGCCUCUGCUGCUGCGCCUCCUCCGAGAACCGGUGGCGCGCCCCCCUUCCCCCCUACGCCGGGCCUGCCGGGUCCCGGGUCCCGGCGUGCGUCCAGCAGCUUCGUAGCGGGAGGGCGCAACUUUCCCCCGGUCCCGGGCGGGGCGGGGACGGCAGCGGGACAACUUGGAAAACUUCUCCGGAGAGGACGGCAGGGACGCCGGGUGUCGGUGGAAGAGGAUGUAGGAGGGUGGUGGCUGGCCCCAGGGAUCCCUCCAUCUCCUUGGCCGGGUUCGGCCUGGCCAUGGGGCUCCAGCGCCUUGUGCGCCGCCAGGGGGUCGAUCCCCCCUUCUAGACUAGCUGCGUAGGACAGUACCGUCUCCGGCUGAGCACGCUCUGGGCGAGCAGCGACCCCUCUGGCCGCGUCCCGCCCCGUCAUGGACCACCAGGAGCCCUACUCGGUGCAGGCCACCGCGGCCAUCGCGGCGGUCAUCACGUUCCUCAUCCUUUUCACCAUCUUUGGCAACGCGCUGGUCAUCUUGGCUGUGUUGACGAGUCGCUCGCUGCGCGCCCCGCAGAACCUGUUCCUCGUGUCGCUGGCCGCCGCCGACAUCCUGGUGGCCACGCUCAUCAUCCCUUUCUCGCUGGCCAACGAGCUGCUGGGCUACUGGUACUUCCGGCGCACGUGGUGUGAGGUGUACUUGGCGCUCGACGUGCUCUUCUGUACCUCGUCCAUCGUGCACCUGUGCGCCAUCAGCCUGGACAGGUACUGGGCCGUGAGUCGGGCGCUGGAGUACAACUCCAAGCGCACCCCACGCCGCAUCAAGUGCAUCAUCCUCACCGUGUGGCUCAUCGCAGCUGUCAUCUCCCUGCCGCCGCUUAUCUACAAGGGCGACCAGGGGCCCCAGCCUCGUGGGCGCCCGCAGUGCAAACUUAACCAAGAGGCCUGGUACAUCCUGGCCUCUAGCAUCGGAUCUUUCUUUGCACCCUGCCUCAUCAUGAUCCUGGUCUACCUGCGCAUCUACCUGAUCGCCAAGCGCAGCCACCGCAGAGGUCCCAGGGCCAAGGGCCGCCCUAGGGAGGGUGAGUCUAAGCAGCCCCGCCCCGUCCCUACUGGAACUUCAACCAAAAUGCCAACCCUGGCCUCUCUGGCUGCUUCUGGAGAGGCCAAUGGUCACUCCAAGCCCACUGGGGCGAAGGAGGAGGGGGAGACCCCUGAAGAUCCUGCCACCCCUGCCUUGCCACCCAGCUGGUCGGCCCUUCCCAACUCAGGCCAGGGUCGGAAGGAAGGUGUUUGUGGGGCAUCUCCAGAGGAAGAAGCCGAGGAGGAGGAGGAAGAGUGUGAGCCUCGGGCCCUGCCAGCAUCUCCUGCCUCCGCCUGUAGCCCACCCCUGCAGCAGCCGCAGGGGUCCCGGGUGCUGGCAACACUACGUGGCCAGGUGCUCCUGGGCAGGGGCGUGGGCACCUCGAGCGGGCAGUGGUGGCGGCGGCGGGCGCAGCUGACUCGGGAGAAGCGGUUCACCUUCGUGCUGGCCGUGGUCAUCGGCGUUUUUGUGCUCUGCUGGUUCCCCUUCUUCUUCAGCUAUAGCCUGGGUGCCAUCUGCCCACAGCACUGCAAGGUGCCCCAUGGCCUCUUCCAGUUCUUCUUCUGGAUCGGCUACUGCAACAGCUCGCUGAACCCCGUCAUCUACACCAUCUUUAACCAGGACUUUCGCCGUGCCUUCCGAAGGAUCCUUUGCCGCCAGUGGACCCAGACGGCAUGCUGCUGUCUUCGGCGAGGCCAAGAGUGGAAUAGAACCGCUCUGCUCCAGGCUCUUUGACGCUAAGAUUCAGUUACGAAUAUCAGAGCUGGAGGACCUGUGGACGUCACUCCUAUCAAUCUCAUUUCCCAGAGGAGGCCUCUGAGGCCCCAGAGCCACCAUGUGAGUUGGGGUUUCCUAGAGAAAUUCUGUUGGAAGGUUCCAUGCUGGUCUUGGCUGAGCUAGGCGCGGGAGAACUGUCCUGCGGUGCGGGCGAAGCACCAGGACAUCCCAGGAGGUGGUGGCAGGGACCUGUCCAGGAGUGUGGGAG